rnacentral:rRNA from 1 species
GACGGAGGAUGCAAGUGUUAUCCGGAAUCACUGGGCGUAAAGCGUCUGUAGGUGGUUAAAUAAGUCGACUGUUAAAUCUUGAGGCUCAACUUCAAAAUCGCAGUCGAAACUAUUAGACUAGAGUAUAGUAGGGGUAAAGGGAAUUUCCAGUGGAGCGGUGAAAUGCGUAGAGAUUGGAAAGAACACCAAUGGCGAAAGCACUUUACUGGGCUAUUACUGACACUGAGAGACGAAAGCUAGGGUAGCAAAUGGG